GAUGAACGCUGGCGGCGUGCUUAACACAUGCAAGUCGAACGAGAAGUGGAGACGGAAACCUUCGGGCGGAAGACUUUAUUUCGAGUGGCGGACGGGUGAGUAACGCGUGGGUAACCUGCCUCAUACAGGGGGAUAACAGUUGGAAACGACUGUUAAUACCGCAUAAGACCACAGCACCGCAUGGUGCGGGGGUAAAAACUCCGGUGGUAUGGGAUGGACCCGCGUUCGAUUAGCCAGUUGGCGGGGUAACGGCCCACCAAAGCGACGAUCGAUAGCCGAUCUGAGAGGAUGACCGGCCACAUUGGGACUGAGACACGGCCCAAACUCCUACGGGAGGCAGCAGUGGGGAAUAUUGCACAAUGGGGGAAACCCUGAUGCAGCGACGCCGCGUGAGUGAAGAAGUAUUUCGGUAUGUAAAGCUCUAUCAGCAGGGAAGAAAAUGACGGUACCUGAGUAAGAAGCCCCGGCUAACUACGUG
rnacentral:rRNA from 1 species